UGGCGCCACGACGAGUGGGGGCGAGAACGAGCGAGAGGACGGCGAGCGGGAGUGGAAGCCCCCGGACCAGGAGUUAAUCAGGAAGCUGGUGGAUCAGAUCGAAUUCUACUUUUCUGAUGAGAACUUGGAGAAGGAAACAAGCUGGGGUACGUGAGCGUCAAGCUCCUCACGUCCUUCAAAAAGGUGAAACACCUGACCCGGGACUGGAGAACCACGGCGCACGCCUUGAAGCACUCGGUGACCCUCGAGUUGAACGAGGACCAGCGGAAGGGCUGCGCGACUGACGCUCCUGAGGGCCGGUCGGGCCGGCGGUCUCUUCUUCGGGACAGAGUUCUUCCCCGCGGUGACUGAGCUGUCCUCGGCGGGCCACGCAGGGCCUUCCUGAGAGCCCACGGGAGUUCUGUUGUGUCACGGCCACUCAUUCAGCCGCUAGCAUGAUGUCUUACAGGACCAAAUGUGUAUUUCCUGUCAAGUGAAUAAAUAAUGAAACCCCCGACUGGGAGUGCUGGCU
rnacentral:lncRNA from 1 species